rnacentral:tRNA from 1 species
GCGCCUGUAGCUCAGCUGGAUAGAGCAGCGGCCUUCUAAGCCCCGUGCCGCAGGUUCGAAUCCUGCCAGGCGCGCCA